rnacentral:misc_RNA from 1 species
UGUGUUAGAUACAGGGAAUUAUGCUCUUGAAUUGAUAGAUCCUGAUAAAAUGCUUAGGUGGAACGAUAUAAUCUGAGUGAGUCCAUCUCUGGAGCUGGAUACCAUUGGAACGAUAUAAUCUGAGUGAGUCCAUCUCUGGAGCUGGAUACCAUGUUGAGUUGCAAUGAUAAGGCAUCUGAUUCCUUAUCAAGGUUUACAUUUACAUCAGAUAUGGAACUGUUAGUACGAAAAGCAAUAGCAGAUUUGGAUGGCUGGUUGGCUAAGGACUUAUUAAUGACUUGGAGAAGUUUCCAUAUGUUUGAGCUGCAAUGGAACAAUUAGAACAGAGGAAGAAGUAUUGGAAUG